AUGAUGGAACACUGGAAAACUGAACUGUUUGUUGGAAAUGAAAGCUAUCGACUUGUCAACAUCAGAAGAGGAAUUUUCCAGGGAGAUUCAUUGUCCCCUCUGCUUUUCAUUAUAGCCAUGAUCCCUCUGUCAACAAUCUUACAAAAAACAAAUCUUGGCUAUGAAACAUCUAAGAAAUCUCACAAAAUUUCACAUCUGAUGUACAUGGAUGACCUGAAGCGGUAUGGGAAAACGGAAACUGAAAUCCAGUCUCUGACCAACACUGUCCGAAUUUUUAGCACUGAUAUCAGCAUGGAGUUUGGUUUGGACAAAUUUUCGACAGUGGCAUUGAAGAAAGGAAAAAUAAUUGAAAGUGAGGGCAUAAAUAUGCCUAAUGGUCAAACAAUAAAGAGUCACCAGCCAGAGACCUAUAAAUAUCUGGGCAUAUUACAGCUGGACAACAUCAAGCAUGAACAUGUGAAGACUGUGGUCAGUAAAGAAUACACACAAAGGGUCAGAAAAGUUCUCAAAAGCAAGCUCAAUGGAGGCAACACCAUCAAGGCCAUAAACACCUGGGCCAUACCUGUCAUAAGAUAUACUGCUGGCAUUAUAAAUUGGACACAGGCAGAACUGGACAAUUUGGACAGAAAAACAAGACAACUCAUGACCAUUCAUCAUUCACUGCACCCUCGCGGUGAUGUUGACCAGCUAUAUCUGCCUAGAAGAUCAGGGGGCAGAGGACUCUUACAAGUCAAACAAGCAGUCAAAGAAGAAGAACAUGCCCUGGCAGAAUAUGUAAAGCAAAGUGAAGAACCUUCUUUGAUUGAAAUUAAAAAUCAGAAACUUCUCAAAGCACAGCAGACAAAAAAUCAGUACAAGAAAACCGCACUACAAACUAGAGCUGACAGCUGGCACAACAAAACAUUGCAUGGAAAGUUCCUUGACAAAAUUGAAGGAAAAGCUGAUAAGGAGAAGACCUGGCUAUGGCUCACGAAUGGGACCCUGAAGGAGACAGAAGGCCUGAUCCUGGCAGCCCAGGAACAAGCCAUCAGAACAAAUGCAAUUAAGGCCAAGAUCGAAAAAUCAACUGAUGACCCAAAAUGCAGACUGUGCAAGGAAACCGACGAAACCAUGGAUCAUAUCCUCAGCUGCUGUAAGAAAAUCGCACAAACAGACUACAAACAGAGGCACAACCAUGUGGCCCAAAUGAUCCAUUGGAACUUAUGCCUCAAGUACCACCUCCCAGCAGUAAAGAACUGGUGGGAUCACAAACCUGCAAAAGUAUUGGAAAAUGAGCACACAAAGAUACUGUGGGACUUCCAAAUACAGACUGACAAAGUUCUGGAACACAACACACCAGACAUCACAGUUGUGGAAAAGAAAAAGAUUUGGAUCAUUGAUGUUGCCAUCCCAGGUGACAAUCGCAUUGACGAAAAACAACAGGAAAAACUCAGCCGCUAUCAGGACCUCAAGAUUGAACUUUAA
rnacentral:lncRNA from 1 species